rnacentral:rRNA from 1 species
GAUGAACGCUAGCGGCAGGCUUAACACAUGCAAGUCGAACGGUAACAGAAAAAGCUUGCUUUUUGCUGACGAGUGGCGAACGGGUGAGUAACGCGUAUGCAACCUACCUUUAACUGAGGAAUAGCCCAGAGAAAUUUGGAUUAAUACCUCAUAAUAACAUUUAAUCUCAUGUUUAGAUGUUUAAAGCUUUUGCGGUUAAAGAUGGGCAUGCGUGACAUUAGUUUGUUGGUGUGGUAACGGCACACCAAGACUACGAUGUCUAGGGAGUCUGAGAGGAUGAUCCCCCACACUGGUACUGAGACACGGACCAGACUCCUACGGGAGGCAGCAGUGAGGAAUAUUGGUCAAUGGACGAAAGUCUGAACCAGCCAUGCCGCGUGAAGGAUGACGGCCCUACGGGUUGUAAACUUCUUUUGUUUAGGAAGAAACCCCUCUACGUGUAGAGGGCUGACGGUACUAUACGAAUAAGCACCGGCUAACUCCAUGCCAGCAGCCGCGGUAAUACGGACGGUGCUAGCGUUAUCCGGAAUUAUUGGGUUUAAAGGGUGCGUAGGCGGAAAUUCAAGUCAGUGGUGAAAGCCUGCAGCUCAACUGUAGAAUUGCCAUUGAUACUGAAUUUCUUGAAUCUAAUUGAAGAAGGCGGAAUAUGACAUGUAUCGGCGAAAUGCUUAGAUAUGUCAUAGAACACCGAUAGCGAAGGCAGCUUACUAAGUUAGUAUUGACGCUAAUGCACGAAAGCGUGGGGAGCGAACAGGAUUAGAUACCCUGGUAGUCCACGCCGUAAACGAUGAUUACUCGCUAUUGGCGAUACACAGUCAGUGGCUAAGCGAAAGCAUUAAGUAAUCCACCUGGGGAGUACGAUCGCAAGGUUGAAACUCAAAGGAAUUGACGGGGGCCCGCACAAGCGGUGGAGCAUGCGGUCUAAUUCGAUGAUACGCGAGGAACCUUACCAGGACUUAAAUGCAUAUCGAUCGGUUGAGAAAUCAACUUUUCUUCGGACGGUAUGCAAGGUGCUGCUUGGUUGUCGUCAGCUCGCGCCGUGAGGUGUCAGGUUAAGUCCUAUAACGAGCGCAACCCCUAUUCUUAGUUGCCAGCGGAUAAUGCCUGGGACUUUAAGAAAACUGUCAGCGUAAGCUGUGAGGAAGGUGGGGAUGACGUCAAAUCAUCACGGCCCUUACGUCCUGGGCCACACACGUGCUACAAUGGAUGGUACAAAGGGCAGCCACUUCCUAUCUCAGUUCGGAUUGGAGUCUGCAACUCGACUCUAUGAAGCUGGAAUCGCUAGUAAUCGCGCAUCAGCCAUGGCGCGGUGAAUACGUUCCCGGGCCUUGUACACACCGCCCGUCAAGCCAUGGAAGCUGGGAGUACCUGAAGUCGGUAACCAUAUAGGAGCUGCCUAGGGUAAAACUAGUGACUGGGGCUAAGUCGUAACAAGGUAGCCGUACCGGAAGGUGCGGCUGGAACACCUCCUUUCUAGAGUGCUCUUAUUACAGAGUGCUAGUUUUCUUUCUUUAAUAUUAGACUUACCCAAUAGCUCAGUUCUUUUUGCUGAACUCAGGGCUAUUUAUAGUCCCUUAGCUCAGUUGGUUAGAGCGCUACACUGAUAAUGUAGAGGUCCGCAGUUCAAAUCUGCGAGGGACUACAAUGCUAUGGGGGAUUAGCUCAGCUGGCUAGAGCGCCUGCCUUGCACGCAGGAGGUCAUCGGUUCGACUCCGAUAUUCUCCACUAAACCUAUUUAUUGGUUUUAAGUUCUUUGACGUAUUUUAUUAAUUAAUCAUAAAAAGUACAUAACAAAUUGUUACUUAUUUAAGAGCUAUUAAGAGCGUAUGGCGGAUGCCUUGGCUCUCAGAGGCGAUGAAGGACGUAAUAAGCUGCGAUAAGCUGCGGUGAGGAGCAAAUAUCCUUUGAUCCGCAGAUUU